ACUCCUACGGGAGGCAGCAGUGAGGGAUAUUGCACAAUGGGGGAAACCCUGAUCCAGCGAUGCCGCGUGAGGGAAGAAGGUUUUCGGAUUGUAAACCUCUGUUGAGGGGGACGAUAAUGACGGUACCCCUUUAGAAAGCCACGGCUAACUACGUGCCAGCAGCCGCGGUAAUAC
rnacentral:rRNA from 1 species